GCGGCCGUAGUCUAGCCUGGUCUAGGACAUAGCCCCUGGUAGCGUCCAAUGGGCUUCCAACCCAACGACCCGGGAAGCCGUCUAAACAGCGGCUCGGGACUUCAAAUCCCGGCGGCCGCACCA
rnacentral:tRNA from 1 species